UACGUAGGGCGCAAGCGUUGUCCGGAAUUAUUGGGCGUAAAGAGCUCGUAGGCGGCUUGUCACGUCGGGUGUGAAAGCCCGGGGCUUAACUCCGGGUCGUGCGGUGGAUACGGGGCAGACUAGAGGCAGGUAGGGGGAGAACGGAAUUCCCGGUGUAGCGGUGAAAUGCGCAGAUAUCGGGAGGAACACCGGUGGCGAAGGCGGCGACCUGGGUCGAUACUGACGCUGAGGUGCGAAAGCGUGGGGAGCAAACAGG
rnacentral:rRNA from 1 species